rnacentral:rRNA from 1 species
GCAAGUCGAGCGGUAAGGCCUUUCGGGGUACACGAGCGGCGAACGGGUGAGUAACACGUGGGUGAUCUGCCCUGCACUUCGGGAUAAGCCUGGGAAACUGGGUCUAAUACCGGAUAUGACCUCCUAUCGCAUGGUGGGUGGUGGAAAGAUUUAUCGGUGCAGGAUGGGCCCGCGGCCUAUCAGCUUGUUGGUGGGGUAAUGGCCUACCAAGGCGACGACGGGUAGCCGACCUGAGAGGGUGACCGGCCACACUGGGACUGAGACACGGCCCAGACUCCUACGGGAGGCAGCAGUGGGGAAUAUUGCACAAUGGGCGAAAGCCUGAUGCAGCGACGCCGCGUGAGGGAUGACGGCCUUCGGGUUGUAAACCUCUUUCAGCAGGGACGAAGCGCAAGUGACGGUACCUGCAGAAGAAGCACCGGCUAACUACGUGCCAGCAGCCGCGGUAAUACGUAGGGUGCAAGCGUUGUCCGGAAUUACUGGGCGUAAAGAGUUCGUAGGCGGUUUGUCGCGUCGUUUGUGAAAACCAGCAGCUCAACUGCUGGCUUGCAGGCGAUACGGGCAGACUUGAGUACUGCAGGGGAGACUGGAAUUCCUGGUGUAGCGGUGAAAUGCGCAGAUAUCAGGAGGAACACCGGUGGCGAAGGCGGGUCUCUGGGCAGUAACUGACGCUGAGGAACGAAAGCGUGGGUAGCGAACAGGAUUAGAUACCCUGGUAGUCCACG